UCUCAAAUCAUGUCACUUUGAAAAUCUGUUGCUGCAGGUGGGUUUUAAGGAGUAAGUAAUAAUUAACUCUGCUUCUAAUGAUGUCUCUGGGACUACAGGUAUGUGUGAUAUUCUGUUUGUUUUGUGUUGCAUUAUCAGGGUUCAAAUUAAGGAGAGAAAGAACCUAAUAGGAAACAACAGUACAAAGAGAAUACAACUAGACGCAAAUAUAGUCAGGCAGUCAGUCUAAUAAGUGAGUCAAAGUCACAGGGAGAGCUGGAAAAAUAGGUAUGAUUAGGUAGGAUUUUGCUACCUGACACUUUGAAGUGGCAUCACUUGCAAAUGUUUGGAUGCUGAAUCGAUAUGAAAAAUUUAUCAGGAAUCCAGCUGCCUUUCCUUUCUGAGCCCUGGGGGCAGGACAGAUCUGCACGGUGACCAUGUAAUGGGGCCUGAAUUCCAGUCCCAGUGCCCCAUGAGGCAAACACUCGCUUGGAAAUAAAGAUGGGGAAUUUUAUUGUUUCUGAUUCAAAUUAGGAAGAUUUUCUCAGGGCCCCAUAGAAAGUCAGUGGGCAGAGCAGAAAUUAGACCUGGCUGUUCAGCCUUCCCUUUGGACAGCAGGUUCUCAAUUACCCAGUGUGGUUUCCAGCUCCCUGUUUCAGGAUCAGAGGAGAUUCCUGGUAGGAUUUAUUUCUCAUUUUUUUGUGCCUGUGUUUGUCCCCACCUUCUGCGUGUUCCCGCAGGAUGGAGCUUUUCGCCUUCCCAGGGGCGUUACAAGCUGCCAGCUGGACUUCUCUCUGCAUUGUCUUCUCUCCCAGUCAUAACUUCCAGCCUGUGCAGGGCUCCCAGCCCUGUGUCAUAUGAAAGAUGCUGAAAGUAGGAGCUAAUCCCUUCCUUACCCCUGUUGAUGGUACCUGUUGACUCCUGAUCAGACAUUUCAGCAUGUUUAAGCUGUUUCAAGAGUUACCCACCUGAUGAGAAGACUUAACCUGCUCCUGCUCAUUGUAUUAUCACAGUUGCAACUCAAAUGAGAAGCACUGAAAUCUGCUGGCAAGCCCUCGCGGGACGACCAGCAGGAACCUGCCCUGCUGAGAAGAGUGGAAUUCCUCUCAGCUGAAGGCGGCUGUCUGCCUGUCUUGAGGCUGACUGGCUGGUGAGGUAUGGAAAUGAUGCUUAAGUUAAGUUAAUCUUGCAGACCAAGGGGCUCGAAGCAGCUUUCCCAAGUAAGUCCCUGUCGGAAACUUCCUGCGCUGUUUAUAUCUUCUCCCAUUGCUCACUGCUGCGACUUGGAGUAUGCAGCCAGCAGCUCUGAUGUAACUUUACACAAAUAGUGCCCUUAUGAAGGGUCCUGGCUUGACAGAUUGAAUCCCUUCUUAACAAGGCGCUGCUCUGUAGAGAAUAAUGUUGUAAAUCCCCCUCUCCCUCCACAGUCACACACACGUGCUCCAACCUACUGAGGCCAUCUUUGUCUGCUGUCCUGA
rnacentral:lncRNA from 1 species